rnacentral:rRNA from 1 species
UAGGGAAUCUUCCGCAAUGGACGCAAGUCUGACGGAGCAACGCCGCGUGAGUGAAGAAGGAUUUCGGUUCGUAAAACUCUGUUGUUAGAGAAGAACAGCGCAUAGAGUAACUGUUAUGCGUGUGACGGUAUCUAACCAGAAAGCCACGGCUAACUACGUGCCAGCAGCCGCGGUAAUACGUAGGUGGCAAGCGUUGUCCGGAUUUAUUGGGCGUAAAGCGAGCGCAGGCGGUCAAUUAAGUCUGAUGUGAAAGCCCCCGGCUCAACCGGGGAGGGUCAUUGGAAACUGGUUGAAUUGAGUGCAGAAGAGGAGAGUGGAAUUCCAUGUGUAGCGGUGAAAUGCGUAGAUAUAUGGAGGAACACCAGUGGCGAAGGCGACUCUCUGGUCUGUAACUGACGCGGAGGCUCGAAAGCGUGGGUAGCAAACAGG